UACGUAGGGAGCAAGCGUUGUCCGGAAUCAUUGGGCGUAAAGCGCGCGUAGGCGGCCUCGUAAGUCCGUUGUGAAAGUCAAAGGCUCAACCUUUGAAAGCCGAUGGAUACUGUGAGGCUAGAGUCCGGAAGAGGCGAGUGGAAUUCCUGGUGUAGCGGUGGAAUGCGCAGAUAUCAGGAGGAACACCAAUGGCGAAGGCAGCUCACUGGGACGGUAUUGACGCUGAGACGCGAAAGCGUGGGGAGCAAACAGG
rnacentral:rRNA from 1 species